AGAGAUGUGUGAUGACGCAUAUCAAUAAGCGGAGGAAAAGAAACUAACAAGGAUUCCCUUAGUAACGGCGAGUGAAGCGGGAAGAGCUCAAAUUUGAAAUCUUCAAGGUUCUACCUUGACGAAUUGUAGUUUAUAGAAGUGUUUUCUGUUAGUGGAGUGGCAAAAGUUCUUUGGAAUAGGACAUCAUAGAGGGUGAGAAUCCCGUAUUUGACCGUUACUUUCCAGCUGUGUGAUACACUUUCAAAGAGUCGGAUUGUUUGGGAAUGCAGUCCAAAAUGGGUGGUAAAUUUCAUCUAAAGCUAAAUAUUGGCGAGAGACCGAUAGCGAGCAAGUACCGUGAGGGAAAGAUGAAAAGAACUUUGAAAAGAGAGUUAAACAGUACGUGAAAUUGUCAAAAGGGAAGCGUUUGACACCAGUGUUGUUUUUCCGAAAAUCAAUUACGAAUGUUUUGUUUUUGAGGAGUUAUGACUUCAUCGGCUUGCUCCUUUCUUUACGAAACUUUCUUAAUGCACUUUUCAGGUUAACAAGUCAACAUCAAUUUCUUUUGUUGUAAAAAGGUAAGAGGAAGGUGGCUUGCGCUUCGGCUCAAGUGUUUAUAGCCUUUUACCCCUGCAAUCGGAGAGAUUGAGGUCUGCAGCGUAGAUCCUUCGGGGUUAGAUACAUUUGUGCUAAGCUAUAGCCUUGUAUAGACAACUUGUUGACUAUGCUCAGUCAUGUAGCUUACUCGCUUAUGCUAUUUUACCUACGCUUAGGAUGUUGAGAUGUAGCACAUCAU
rnacentral:rRNA from 1 species